rnacentral:rRNA from 1 species
AGCUGACGGAGCACGCCGCGUGAGUGAAGAAGGUUUCGGAUCGUAAAACUCUGGUUGGGUUAGGGAAGAACAAGUGCCGUUCGAAUAGGGCGGCGCCUUGACGGUACCUAACCAGAAAGCCACGGCUAACUACGUGCCAGCAGCCGCGGUAAUACGUAGGUGGCAAGCGUUGUCCGGAAUUAUUGGGCGUAAAGCGCGCGCAGGUGGUUUCUUAAGUCUGAUGUGAAAGCCCACGGCUCAACCGUGGAGGGUCAUUGGAAACUGGGGAACUUGAGUGCAGAAGAGGAAAGUGGAAUUCCAAGUGUAGCGGUGAAAUGCGUAGAUAUUUGGAGGAACACCAGUGGCGAAGGCGACUUUCUGGUCUGUAACUGACACUGAGGCGCGAAAGCGUGGGGAGCAAACAGGAUUAGAUACCCUGGU